AUGUAACCUCUCGAACCAGCCUCGAAUGGCUGGGCGGGGAGCAGACUGGAGGGUCCGCUUCUGCUCCAGCCUCCAAAGGCGGUUGAUGUUCCUGGGAGGCCUGAUAUUUUCUGAGAGAGAAAGAGGAGUAGAACUUGGAGAAAAGAGAGGGAAUCUUAUAUUCAAAGUCAUGGCCAAAAAAGAAAAAAGAAAUCAUCAUGUUUAG